CCUACGGGCGGCUGCAGUGGGGAAUAUUGGGCAAUGGGCGCAAGCCUGACCCAGCAACGCCGCGUGAAGGAAGAAGGCUUUCGGGUUGUAAACUUCUUUUGUCAGGGAAGAAGCAAGAGACGGUACCUGACGAAUAAGCCACGGCUAACUACGUGCCAGCAGCCGCGGUAAUACGUAGGUCGCAAGCGUUAUCCGGAUUUAUUGGGUUUAUAGGGCGCGUAGGCGGGAAUGCAAGUCAGAUGUGAAAACUAUGGGCUCAACCCAUAGACUGCAUUUGACACUGGAUUUCUUGAGUACUGGAGAGGCAGGCGGAAUUCGGGGUGUAGCGGUGAAAUGCGUAGAUAUACGGAGGAACACCGGUGGCGAAGGCGGAUUGCUAGACAGUAACUGACACUGAGGCGCGAAAGCGUGGGGAGCAAACAGGAUUAGAUACCCGGGUAGUC
rnacentral:rRNA from 1 species